rnacentral:rRNA from 1 species
AGAGUUGAUCAUGGCUCAGGAUGAACGCUGGCGGCGUGCCUAACACAUGCAAGUCGAGCGAGAAGUUCAUGAAGAAUCUCGGAGGACGGAUGAGCGGAAAGCGGCGGACGGGUGAGUAACGCGUAGGUAACCUGCCCUGUACAAAGGGAUAGCCACUGGAAACGGUGAUUAAUACCUUAUGAUACCGGACAGUCACAUGGUUGACCGGUCAAAGAUUUUAUCGGUACAGGAUGGACCUGCGUCUGAUUAGUUAGUUGGUGAGGUAACGGCUCACCAAGGCGACGAUCAGUAGCCGACCUGAGAGGGUGAUCGGCCACAUUGGAACUGAGACACGGUCCAAACUCCUACGGGAGGCAGCAGUGGGGAAUAUUGCACAAUGGGCGCAAGCCUGAUGCCAGCAACGCCGCGUGAACGAAGAAGGCUCUUGGGUCGUAAAGUUCUGUUCUGAGGGAAGAAGAAAGUGACGGUACCUCAGGAGAAAGCCCCGGCUAACUACGUGCCAGCAGCUGC